rnacentral:rRNA from 1 species
UACGAAGGGGGCUAGCGUUGUUCGGAAUCACUGGGCGUAAAGCGCAUGCAGGCGGAUUGUUAAGUCGGGGGUGAAAUCCCGAGGCUCAACCUCGGAACUGCCUUCGAUACUGGCAAUCUUGAGUCCGGGAGAGGUGAGUGGAACUGCUAGUGUAGAGGUGAAAUGCGUAGAUAUUCGCAAGAACACCAGUGGCGAAGGCGGCUCACUGGCCCGGUACUGACGCUGAGGUGCGAAAGCGUGGGGAGCAAACAGG